UACGUAGGGAGCAAGCGUUGUUCGGAUUUACUGGGCGUAAAGGGCGCGUAGGCGGCAAUUCAAGUCAGCUGUGAAAUCUCCGGGCUUAACUCGGAACGGUCAGCUGAUACUGCUUUGCUAGAGUGCGGAAGGGGCAAUCGGAAUUCUCGGUGUAGCGGUGAAAUGCGUAGAUAUCGAGAGGAACACCUGAGGUGAAGACGGGUUGCUGGGCCGACACUGACGCUGACAGCGCGAAAGCCAGGGGAGCAAACGGG
rnacentral:rRNA from 1 species